CCAAGGCGACGAUCCGUAGCUGGUCUGAGAGGAUGAUCAGCCACACUGGGACUGAGACACGGCCCAGACUCCUACGGGAGGCAGCAGUGGGGAAUAUUGGUCAAUGGGCGAAAGCCUGACGCAGCAACACCGUGUGGGUGACGAAGGCCUUCGGGUCGUAAAGCCCUGUUGUUGGGGACGAAGGGUUAGGGGUUAAUAGCCCCGAGCCUGACGGUACCCUUCGAGGAAGCCCCGGCUAACUACGUGCCAGCAGCCGCGGUAAUACGUAGGGGGCGAGCGUUGUCCGGAAUUAUUGGGCGUAAAGAGCGUGUAGGCGGCCCGGUAAGUCCGCCGUGAAAGCUUAGGGCUCAACCCUAAGUUUGCGGUGGAUACUGUCGGGCUAGAGGGUGGUAGAGGCGAGUGGAAUUCCCGGUGUAGCGGUGAAAUGCGCAGAUAUCGGGAGGAACACCAGUAGCGAAGGCGGCUCGCUGGGCCAUACCUGACGCUGAGACGCG
rnacentral:rRNA from 1 species